GUAGAUACAUUUUGAAAAUAUUUCUUGUUUAUUACCACAUCCUCACUAUUUUCUUCAUGACAAAAAAAAUGGUAUACUUUUGUAGAGGUUUACAUCACUGUAGGUUUUUAUCAUUUAUUCAUAUAGACUUAGAUGUAGAACAUGUGCCUUACGGCACUCCCAUUGAACACAGAUGCAAGGAUUUGGCUUUGCCUUUAUAAUUGUUUCUGUUAUAAACCCCUAUUUCAGAGUUCAGAUUUUGGUUAUAAAAAACGCUUCCAGAAUAUAAUCUGGCAUCUAAGGGAUCUGUCAGGGAACAUUUAUUGCUAGUUUGACUUCAGUGUGGCUUUUUUAAGUUACAGAUGUGCUUAAAGAGUAUUAUCCAUGCUUUCAGAUUUUUGAAGAUUUAAGGUAACUUUCAAUUGCAAAUGGAAGUCACCACACUAUAAUGUGGAAUGAAAGCAUUGUGUUUAGAUAAAAAUACCAUAAAAACCCUAAAUGCUCACUUGAGUUUUUUUUCUAAAUAAUGAGUGUAGUUACUUCAUAACAGACUUGCACUAAGGAUAAAUUACAUCCUUGCUGUGCUCAAGGGAAUAUGCUUUUCACUAAGAAAAGUAAAAUGAUCUAGUUUCCUCUAACAUAUUUACUAUGCUUCAAACAGUUAAUCAGAUUAAAACUGCCCAUUCUAGAUAUAUGGGUUUCUGCUAUUCUGGGCUCUCCACAGAUAAACUGAGCCAAUCCCAAAAGUCUUUACUUAUGUCAGCUCAUUUGAAGUCUGCAUGGAAGAGCAAUUUCCUUGGCAUCUGAGAAACACGACAAUUUUGUCAAAAAACUCUGACUGAAAUCUUUUAUCUAUUGUAGAGCUUAAGCAUCCCAGAGGUAUUGCUUGGACUCUUUGACAAGGGUCCAGAAUUAGCCAUACACACAACGAAGGAAUGUAGACAUACAUAGUGGAUGAAAAUGUCCUUCUCUGGCUCCUAUGCAGAACCCCUCUCUGAGCUUCAGGAUUGUCAACAGACCACCUGGAGGGAUAAGUCUUAGCCAAGAACAUAGAAGCUUUGAGAGGCAUGAUCUCCCCGUCCUUCUUGGCUUCUUGCAGCUC
rnacentral:lncRNA from 1 species